AGGAAGUCCUAAGGCUGUGAUGCCCAGCACGGCAACUAUAGGUAACGAUCCUGCGAAGCACAUUUGAAAGUCACUAUGAGAGUAAAUCUUAAAAGUUCUCAUCACAAGAAAAAAACGUUCUGUGACUAUGUGUGGUGACGGACGUUAACCAGACGUGCAACGGUGAUCAUUUCGCACCAGAUGCGAACGGCGCAUCGUCGCGUCGCCCACCUGAAGCUUACAUCACGUGGGAUGUGAAUUAUGCCUCAGUUACACCACAUCAUCUUCCGAACAGGAUGGUAGAAAAGGACUUGCAGGGAGAAUCCUGCCUCUCUGGUAGGAGAAGACGCUCUGUAAAAUCAUCAUGAUAUCGGCAGCAGCGUCGUCAGCAGCAGCCGGCCUUCAGCUCCGUUACUAACGCUGUCAAAAAUGCACAGAUCCCUUUCUCAGCCGCCCUGAAGUCACAUGUGUCCCCAGGAAAAACCACGAGAUUCUCCACAUCACUGACAGAUACCCCAGUACACUGUUCCUAAAAGCUGGAAAUUCGGCAAGUGGCUGCAUAACAGCUCAUUUGGUUGAAAAUCCCUUUGGAGGGAGUCUUAUCCAAGCCAAUUCCCUGUCUAUGUAAAAUCUGGUGCCUCUGAGUUCA